UACGGUGGGUGCAAGCAUUAAUCGGAUUUAUUGGGCGUAAAGGGCGCGUGGGCGGGAAGAUAAGUCAGAUGUGAAAUCCCGAGGCUCAACCUCGGAACAGCAUUUGAAACUAUCUUUCUAGAGGAUAGGCGGAGAAAACGGAAUUCCACAAGUAGCGGUGAAAUGCGUAGAUAUGUGGAAGAACACCGGUGGCGAAGGCGGUUUUCUAGCUUAGACCUGACGCUGAGGCGCGAAAGCAAGGGGAUCAAACAGG
rnacentral:rRNA from 1 species